rnacentral:lncRNA from 1 species
UGACUUCAGUCAAGCUGAUCAAGUGGCAGCAACACCAACAGCGAGCGUAAUUGUCAGGAUUGCUCCUCUGGAACCUGAAGGAAGAGUAAACAUUUUAAGAGAAAGCAGCUAGAUGCCAAGAGAGGCAGAAACCAUCAAAAAUCAAAAUUCGUGAUUUAGUUAGAUAGGAGAUUUUUGAUCUGAGCUUAGUUCAUGUCUUUAGCUAUAGAAGGAUACCUCAAUGUUUUUUUAUGUCUUUCUUUUUUGCCUGUAGCACAAAGUGUAUACAGAUUACAGAGAGAAUAUAUGCCACUUUUAAGUAAUAUUUCACGACUUCAUCAAACUUCUUUUUGAGAAAGUAAAAUUUUCAAUGGAAUGUAAACUACAUUAAGAAUCAUCUAUUACCAGAGUGUGAUAUAUUUCUAUGUGUCACAAUCACUACACAGAAUUACACAUUCAGUAGACAGAACAAAUGGUUUCCAGUAAUGAAUGGCAAGGUUUGUGUGAAGUAGUGUUUAGACAACUAGAUGCAUAUACGGUGCAGAUCUGAUCUCAUGUAUGCUUGAUAGUGACAUAUGGACGAAGUUCGUGAAGAAAAAAUGUAUUUAUCCACUUGUCUCAACCCACUUAAAACACUAUCGAUCAAUCAACACAUGAGUCAUCAAGAUAAGAAAUACCAGAGGAUUCUUCAUUGCAAUGAUAAAUAAAUCAACUUUGCCAUAGGAAAGUGAUAUGGAACCAACCAACCCAUGAUAAGGAAAACCAACCGAUCUAAGUAUAUAGGUAAUUCCUAAAAGCUAGUUUGGGGAUGCAUAGUCAUUUAAGAUUAUCAACCUCCAGUCAAGUAAUAAACCCAUCCUAUGGGAUAUAGCCUUGACACCAGACAUAGCUAUGCCAUGAUAUACUAUCAAAGAUGUAGAAUUGAUUUGUAAGAACCGUCCUGGUCGAGAAAACCCAUUUCCACAAGAUCACACACCAAAAUCUUAAAGUGAGGAUAAAUCUACCAACAUCAAACCAAACAGUGGAAGGUUCAAGUUAAAAUGACGGUUGAUGCCUCAAAAUUUACUCAUCCUACAUCUUAUCAAAUAGGUAUAUCAGAUUGUAGUGCAUGUUGUGUCAAGAUUUAGUAUACUCCUAUAUACUUUUUCUCCGAAACAGGUGCACAUCGUGUGUAUGCACACUACCUUGUUCAAUAUAUUGUCAUGAUAGCUGAACCGAGAAAAGGCUAGGCCUAACGAUUCAGAUCUACUCACUGCUAUCUCGUAGUAUGCAAACAAAAACAAAACUACAAACUUAACUUACUUUAAUUCCAUCUCUAUGAUAAAUUAAAAAAACUUGUGCAUAUAUAAAAGAAAAGAUUGAGUGAUCAACAUGAAUAUACCACUUGAUAUCUUUGUCAUUUUCAUAUAUUAUCAAGAUAUCAAAAUCUUAUAAUUGAGCAUUCCAUAACCCAUUGUAAGCAAACCUACUAAACUGGUUUAGUUAAGGACCACAUCUUCUAACUACGAGAUUUUGGAGAUCCUGUAAUAUAAAAGGAAGCAACAAGUCAUAAACAAGGUUAUCAAAACAAAAGACAUGUCAUAAACAAUGAUGGUUCAAAUAAGGCUUAAGAUCCUAGGCAUUUCUGAUUGGAUGAGAUACAAAUAAAGUGUUCAAAAGUUCAAUUAAUAAGUAAUACCCGACUAACAAAAUGGGAAUUUAAUAGUGAUUGAGGCCGUGCACCAAAAAGAAGUGUUAUUGGUUAUAAUAGAACACUGUGGUUAACAGGUAACAUUUGUCCAUUAAGCAUCUGAGGGAUAUCAGAUCAUAUCCAAUGAUAUGCCAUUGAGAGUGUAAAAACUGCUAUAAAGUAUUUUGUUAGUACAACUUUAUCCGUGAUAAAUUGCAGAUUUAGCUUAAGUAAUGCCCUUACAAAAAUAGCUAGUAGUCUAAAAUUGUUCAACUCUCUCAACAAUUGAGACUUUCUACAAAAUUGCCAUCAAUAUAAUAAAGAUGUUCAAAUUUCUGCUACUAGUUAACUGCCAUUGCAAUUAUUGUAACGUUCUUUAGGUUGGUGAGAACUAUCUACUCUGCUAUUCACAGAGUUAUAAGUAAAACAAUGUAAAUACAGAAGCACUAGAGGACACUGGUAGCUUUGGGAGAUAAUGUUUCAAAAUACUAUCUUAGUGCUUUAAGAAAAUCCUGGCCACUUGUUGGACUAAAGACCUCAAUCAAUAUGAUAAGAUUCAUUUCUACACUUUUUUGUAUUAUAAUACAUAUACUAGCUAUAAUUCAAAACUAGGCUAAUUAUAAAUUAGAGAAAGUUUUGCGACAUACCGUUAUAAAGCAAAAGAACUGUGCACAAUAAGUCUAUUCCCUACAUUGUCAAAAGAGAAAGAAAAGAUAUUUAGUAGGAACAAUGAACAAAAUGAUAGUUACUUAAAAGUUCACCAAAAAAAUGGCAUUGAAGAGAACAUGAUUGAAAUAGGUUCCACCAAAGAAAGUCAAUAAUGGUACAUAGAUGAUUAAAAGACAGGACUAAAGCUCUGUGUUUCAGUAUUUUAACUUUCUAGCCAAAGUGUAAUGUUUCUGAAACUUUUCUCAAGUUUAAACCCAUUGGGUCCAAAGCAUUUCUACAUAAUGAAUGCAUCCAGCAAAACUCUUACAUGAGUAUUUUGGCAGACAUGUAACUACUUAGGGAGAUCAAAAUAGAUUUUGCAGAUAUUACCCUGACUCACAACAUAAAAUAAAAUCCAUCUUAUAAAGAAUCAACACAGGACAAACAUGAUUAAAGAAAGUUUUCUAAUAUAUAACACAAAAAGAACUAAUUCUAUAUUCAAUGUCCCGACACAAGCAUCUUGUGGUUAGAGGGGGUAUGGGGAAACGACACAAUCAGCACUCAAGAAUUCAUGGAAUUGGAUAAGCUCUUUCUGGGUCCCAUAUUCUCCCAACUCUCAUUUGAAAAAAAGAAGAAAACACACUUUCUUAAACAAUAAUUAUUACUAUCCAAUUAUAAAAUUCUCAGUCCCCAUUAAGUAAUCAGUAAGCAUCUCAUGCUAUAUAUAAGACCACUUUGAAUUCCCCAAAACUUAAAAAAGCAAUAAGCAAACAAAGCCAAGAAAAGCAGAGAGAACAGACUUUGAUUUAAAGCUUUUUCAAAGAGUAAAACAUGUCUGCAAACGAGUUACCUGCUUCAGCUCAAUCCUUGCAAGAACAAUUCCUUGGCAGUUUUGUCACUAGAAAGCUUCUUCUGCACGACCCAUUUGACCACAACU